rnacentral:rRNA from 1 species
AAUGAACGUUGGCGGCGUGGAUUAGGCAUGCAAGUCGAGCGAGAACCCCGCAAGGGGGGACAGCGGCAAACGGGGUAGUAAUGUGUCGGAACGUGCCCAGAGGACGGGGAUAGCGGCGGGAAACUGCCGGUAAUACCCGAUGAUCUCGAGAGAGCAAAGGUGUGAUUCCGCCUUUGGAGCGGCCGACAUGGUAUUAGCUAGUGGGCGGGGUAACGGCCCACCAAGGCUGUGAUGCCUAGGGGAUGUGAGAGCAUGAUCCCCACCAUUGGGACUGAGACACUGCCCAGACACCUACGGGUGGCUGCAGUCGAGAAUCUUCGUCAAUGGGCGAAAGCCUGAACGAGCGACGCCGCGUGCGGGAUGAAGGCCUUUGGGUUGUAAACCGCUGUCGAGGGGGAUGAAGGCAUUCAGGUCCUCCUGAAUGUUUGACAGAGCCCUGGAGGAAGCACGGGCUAAGUUCGUGCCAGCAGCCGCCGCAGUAA